AGCUCUUUGAAAUUAUGAAAGGUAGGACCUGCCCAGUGGAAUCUUAACGGCUGCAGUAUUUUGACUGUACAAAGGUAGCAUAAUCAAUUGUCUUGUAAUUAGGGACUGGAAUCAAUGGUUUGACGAGAGCUUAACUGUCUCACUCAUAAACUUAAAAACUUACCUCCAAGUGAAAAGGCUUGGAUAAAAUAAGAGGACAAGAAGACCCUAUUGAGCUUUAGAGAAUUAACUUAUAACAACAACUAUUAAAUAAAAGUGUAAUUAAGUGAAUAACUUUGGUUGGGGCAACCGAAGUACAACAUAAACCACUUCAUAAAGACUUACUCAUAAGUAUAAAUAUAAACAAAAAUGAUCCUAACAUUAAGAUCUGAAGAACAAGUUACCAUAGGGAUAACAGCAUAAUCUCUCCAGAGAGCUCUUAUCGAAGGAGAGGUUUGUGACCUCGAUGUUGGACUAAGAUAUCCUAUAGGUGCAGAAAUCUAUAAAGGUGGACCUGUUCGGUCUUUAAAAUCUUACAU
rnacentral:rRNA from 1 species